rnacentral:miRNA from 14 species
GUCUAGGUCCAGGUCCAGGUUCUGGUCCUGGUCCAGGUCUAGGUCCAGGUCCAGGACCAGGACCAGGACCAGGUUCUGGUCCUGGUCCAG